rnacentral:tRNA from 1 species
CGAUGUAUCUCAGCAGUAGAGUGCUUGCCUAGCACACAUGAGAACCUGGGUUCAAAUUCCAGCAUUG